rnacentral:tRNA from 1 species
GGCAAAGUGGUUGUGUGGUUAAGGCACUAAACUGGGAUUUAGAAGCUCUAGGUUUGAUUCCUAGCUAUUCCA